UGGGGAAUCUUGGACAAUGGGGGCAACCCUGAUCCAGCCAUGCCGCGUGAGUGAUGAAGGCCUUAGGGUCGUAAAGCUCUUUCGCCUGUGAAGAUAAUGACGGUAGCAGGUAAAGAAACCCCGGCUAACUCCGUGCCAGCAGCCGCGGUAAUACGGAGGGGGUUAGCGUUGUUCGGAAUUACUGGGCGUAAAGCGCACGUAGGCGGACCAGAAAGUUGGGGGUGAAAUCCCGGGGGCUCAACCCCGGAACUGCCUCCAAAACUAUUGGUCUAGAGUUCGAGAGAGGUGAGUGGAAUUCCAAGUGUAGAGGUGAAAUUCGUAGAUAUUUGGAGGAACACCAGUGGCGAAGGCGGCUCACUGGCUCGAUACUGACGCUGAGGUGCGAAAAGUGUGGGGAGCAAAACAGGAUUAGAUACCCUGGUAGUCCACACCGUAAAACGAUGAAUGCCAGUCGUCGGAUAGCAUGCUAUUCGGUGACACACCUAACGGAUUAAGCAUUCC
rnacentral:rRNA from 1 species